rnacentral:rRNA from 1 species
UACAGAGGGUGCAAGCGUUGUUCGGAAUUAUUGGGCGUAAAGGGCGCGUAGGCGGUGCGGUAAGUCUGUAGUGAAAUCUCUGGGCUCAACUCAGAGUCUGCUGCAGAAACUGCCGUGCUUGAGUGUGGGAGAGGUGAGUGGAAUUCCCAGUGUAGCGGUGAAAUGCGUAGAUACUGGGAGGAACACCAGUGGCGAAGGCGGCUACCUGGACCGGUUCUGACGCUGAGGCGCGAAAGCGUGGGUAGCAAACAGG